UACGGAGGGGGCAAGCGUUGUUCGGAAUCAUUGGGCGUAAAGGGCGCGUAGGCGGCCGACCAAGUCGGGUGUGAAAUCCCUCGGCUCAACCGAGGAACUGCACUCGAUACUGGUUGGCUAGAGUCCGGGAGGGAUGGUGGAAUUCCCAGUGUAGCGGUGAAAUGCGUAGAUAUUGGGAAGAACACCGGUGGCGAAGGCGGCCAUCUGGACCGGAACUGACGCUGAGGCGCGAAAGCCAGGGGAGCGAAUGGG
rnacentral:rRNA from 1 species